UUCUCUAGAAUUCUGCAUUUCUCUUCUUGAAUUCCCACCAAUUGCGUUGUUCCAUACACUCUUUGCGACUUUUGUAGCUAAAGAUAAUGAAAUUCAUGGUGUUGACGACUCUCUUAGGGUUUCUCGAGGUUUCUAUGAAGCGGGGAAUAAUUGCGGUUUUGGUGUGUUUGUUAAUUGGGGUUAUUGAAGACACAGCAUAAUAUGUCUCUCUGCAUUUUGGAAGGGUACCCCUACAAUCUUGAUUUCGAUCAUGGUGCUCUGGGAUAGUUACAACAUUUCUCUAUUAACAAUCUUGGUGAUCCAUUUAUAGAGAGCAACUAUGGAGUCCAUUCUGGGCAGUUUGAAGUGGGUGUAUUGGAUCGGUUUGCCCGCCUAUGGGAACUUGAGAAGAACAAAUAUUGGGGUUACAUUACAAAUUGUGGAACAGAAGGCAAUAUUCAUGGUAUAUUAGUUGGGAGGGAAGUGUUUCCAGAUGGCAUUCUGUAUGGCUCACGUGAAUCACAUUAUUCUAUUUUCAAAGCUGCACGAAUGUACAUGAUGGAAUGUGAAAAGGUCGACACUUUGGUCUCAGGUGAAAUUGAUUGCAAGGAUUUCAAAACUAAACUCCUUUGCCACAAGUGCAAGCCAGUAAUUAUCAACGUAAACAUUGUUCAAUUAUGGUGGAAUCCAAGCUAGAAUCAAUAGUGAAACAUUAGAAGGUAUUUUUGAACCAGAAAAUGGAAUUGUGCAUGAUGAAUCUCAAGUGGAUAUUGUUUCAAGCUGGGAUAUUGUUUCAAGCUGGAAUAUUGAUAUAAGUGACCCAAGGCAACUCAAUAUUGGGAAAACUUACCCAAGGCAACUCAGGUGGGUUAACAACUUUGGUUGACAUGCCUCUUAACAGUUUUCCAUCUACAGUUUCUGAAGAAACUUUUGAACUCAAGGUUUGAAGCAAUGUGGUAAGAGUUGCAAGCUUAGAUGGGCACCCUCGUCCUUGUGAUAGGAGCAAGUGGGUUUGCUGCAGCUGCGACUGCUAUAGGAAUUGUUGCCAGUAGUUUUAAAUAAUCUCUUAAUAGUUUUGGAUAUGUUUAGAAACUUAGAUAUGCAUAGUUUCGGACGGUUUAAACUUUUUUGGACAGUUUAGAACUUAAGGAUAUAGUUUUCGAAUGUUUAGAAUAUAUAGACAAUUGUUGAAUGUUUAUAAUUUAUGGAUAUAGUUUCUUUU